AUUGAACGCUGGCGGCAUGCCUUACACAUGCAAGUCGAACGGCAGCACGGGAGCAAUCCUGGUGGCGAGUGGCGAACGGGUGAGUAAUAUAUCGGAACGUGCCCAGUAGUGGGGGAUAACUGCUCGAAAGAGCAGCUAAUACCGCAUACGACCUGAGGGUGAAAGGGGGGGAUCGCAAGACCUCUCGCUAUUGGAGCGGCCGAUAUCAGAUUAGCUAGGUGGUGGGGUAAAGGCCUACCAAGGCGACGAUCUGUAGUUGGUCUGAGAGGACGGACAGCCACACUGGGACUGGGACACGGCCCAGACUCCUACGGGAGGCAGCAGUGGGGAAUUUUGGACAAUGGGCGCAAGCCUGAUCCAGCAAUGCCGCGUGCAGGAAGAAGGCCUUCGGGUUGUAAACUGCUUUUGUCAGGGAAGAAAUCCUCUAGGUUAAUACCCUUGGGGGGAUGACGGUACCUGAAGAAUAAGCACCGGCUAACUACGUGCCAGCCGCCGCGGUAACAC
rnacentral:rRNA from 1 species